rnacentral:rRNA from 1 species
ACUCCUACGGGGAGGCAGCAGUGGGGAAUAUUGGACAAUGGGGGGAACCCGUGAUCCAGCCAUGCCGCGUGUGUGAAGAAGGCCUUAUGGUUGUAAAGCACUUUAAAGCGAGGAGGAGGCUACUGAGACUAAUACUCUUGGAUAGUGGACGUUACUCGCAGAAUAAGCACCGGCUAACUCUGUGCCAGCAGCCGCGGUAAUACAGAGGGUGCGAGCGUUAAUCGGAUUUACUGGGCGUAAAGCGUGCGUAGGCGGCUUUUAAGUCGGAUGUGAAAUCCCCGAGCUUAACUUGGGAAUUGCAUUCGAUACUGGGAAGCUAGAGUAUGGGAGAGGAUGGUAGAAUUCCGAGGUGUAGCGGUGAAAUGCGUAGAGAUCUGGAGGAAUACCGAUGGCGAAGGCAGCCAUCUGGCCUAAUACUGACGCUGAGUACGAAGCAUGGGAGCAAACAGGAUUAGAUACCCCUGGUAGCGACUGA